UACAGAGGGCGCGAGCGUUAAUCGGAAUUACUGGGCGUAAAGGGUGCGUAGGCGGUUAGAUAAGUUAGAUGUGAAAUCCCUGGGCUUAACCUGGGAAUGGCAUUUAAUACUGUAUGACUAGAGUAGAGUAGAGGGAAGUGGAAUUUCCGGUGUAGCGGUGAAAUGCGUAGAUAUCGGAAAGAACAUCAGUGGCGAAGGCGGCUUCCUGGACUCAUACUGACGCUGAGGCACGAAAGCAUGGGGAGCAAACAGG
rnacentral:rRNA from 1 species